GGAUCCAGUUCCAUGCUGUGGAGGCUUACUUCUUUGGCUCUUCACAAUAAAUCUUGGUGCUGCUUACUCUUUGGGUCUGCACUACCUUUAUGAGCUAUAACACUCAUUGUGAAGGUCUGUGGCUUCACUCCUGAAGUCAGCAAGACCACGAACCCAUUGGGAGGAACAAACAACUCUGGACAAAAGCUGUAACACUCACUGGGAAGUUAUGUGGCUUCACUCCUGAAGUCAAGCGAGAUCACAAACCCACCAGAUGGAAGAAACUCUGGAUACAUCUGAAGGAACAAACUCCGGAUGCAUCAUCUUUAACAACUAUAACACUCACCUCGAGGGUCCACGGCUUCAUUCUUGAAGUAUAUAUGGAGUGACUUCAAAAUGUGGUCAAAGCUCAGAUUUCACCGAGAGAAAUCCUUAGCAACUUUCUGCUGUACCAUGGUAAGGAUGAAGAGGGGGACUUACAAAACAGCAUGCUCGUUGUGAACCCUCUAGCAUUUCUGUCUCAUUCUGAGUGAUUCUGAGAAGAUUCAAGAGGCUAUCUUAAGACACCGUUAUUAUCUUCCUUUCCAAUCAGAAGAUCUUUAGACUUUACCAAUAUUAUAAACCCAGAGAAAGGUUUCACGUAUUUAUUGGUGUGGGAGAAUAGAAACAAGAAAACCAGGCUGAGAAAAGACUGAGACUUCAAAUCGAAAUCAGUCAUCACUUCUCUAUAUUGGCCAAGCAAGACAAUGGAACAAUAGAUUAAAGUGUUAUGAAUGUAAAAGACAAUAUAGGAAGCUGCAUGAAUUAUUGAGGCUCCUGAAGUCAUCUUACAUCUGUCUGCCCAAAGAAAAUGCAUUCGGGAGAAUUGCCUUAUUGCACUUUGUGUGUGUCAUUAUACUAAAAAAGUCAAUUUUUAAAGGAGAAAAAUUACAUGUUCAUUUUUCUCUUUAUACACAAUAUAUCAAUGUACGUAUUCAGGAGGAUACUUCAGUGUUGGAUUUUUUAAUAGGAAAAAACAGAGCCUCCCCGACCCCUGCC